rnacentral:miRNA from 1 species
CCCCAUUGGUUGACAGCGGGCCCGAUGCUCCUCCCUCCCUCGCUCUCUCUCUCUGAGGGGGAGGAGGGAGGGAGGGAGG